UGCAGUCACGUCAAAUUCAGGGGUACAUUUCCAUGGUACUUACUGGCCUAAAUGGCUGCUACAGUAAACUUGUAGUUCAUGGGCCCCAGAUCUGCAUCUCUAGGUGCUGGGGACAAGCACGAUUCUACAAACAUAU